GACCUCAGAUCAGGCAAGGCUACCCGCUGAAUUUAAGCAUAUCAUA
rnacentral:rRNA from 3 species